rnacentral:rRNA from 1 species
AUUGAACGCUGGCGGCAUGCUUUACACAUGCAAGUCGAACGGCAGCGGGGAGGAGCUUGCUUCUCUGCCGGCGAGUGGCGAACGGGUGAGUCAUACAUCGGAACGUGUCGAGAAGAGGGGGAUAACCACCCGAAAGGGUGGCUAAUACCGCAUAAAUUCUGAGGAAGAAAGCUGGGGACCUAGGAAUAGGCCUAGCGCUUUUUGAGCGGCCGAUGUCGGAUUAGCUAGUUGGUGAGGUAAAGGCUCACCAAGGCGAAGAUCUGUAGCGGGUCUGAGAGGAUGAUCCGCCACACUGGGACUGAGACACGGCCCAGACUCCUACGGGAGGCAGCAGUGGGGAAUUUUGGACAAAGGGGGCAACCCUGAUCCAGCCAUGCCGCGUGUAUGAAGAAGGCCUUAGGGUUGUAAAGUACUUUUGUUAGGGAAGAAAAGUCAGCUGUGAAUAAUGGCUGAUACUGACGGUACCUAAAGAAUAAGCACCGGCUAACUACGUG